CGGCACAACUUAAGACUGUGUCAUCUUGUCUUGCUAAAUACUUUAAUCAGUUUUGUUGCAGGCCAUCUUGGUGAUGUGCUUUACAGAUCAGAGUGAAUCAGGCAACAGAUGGCUGGCCUUAUCAGUCAGGAGUUGUGCUCUUGGAGCAUCUGCAGGUGUUUAAUUGAGAAGUUGACUGGGAAGUGAAGUUGACUGGUCUCUGAUGGAAAAGGUAGAGUUUUUAUAGCAAACUGUACAGAGAGAAAAAAAUAAAACAUUUGAAAAUUGG